CCCAGGAUGUUUUACAGGAGACUAUGUACUUACUUUGACUACCUAGACAUGCUUCUGGACACCCAGGAGGAGCAUUUGGACAUGACUAGCAACAGACUCCUAGUGAGGUGGUAAUGCAGGACACAGUCCUUGUGAAGAGAAGGCGCACAUUCACCUCAUCCCAAGAGCCAGGGCACACUGAGUGUUUGGACAGUGUGAUCAAACAGUGGCCUGAUUUCUACGUGAUGGCAGAAUUUAUAACCUGCUAAUAAUUCCCUGGUGUGGGAAUACGGGAGCAGUAAUAAGUUGGGCCAAUGUAAAGUGAGGGUUGGACUUUCUCCAAGGCCCGGAUGGCUCUGAGAGUCUAUGGAGGGUGCCCUGGGUGUCCGUGUUUCCUGUUGUACAUGCAGUGACCUGACGACACAGUUCUGCCUAGAGAGAAAUAGAAGUGACUAAAUCAGCACCGCUCUGAAAUAACACCCUUUGAUGCUGGAGUGUUCACAGUCUUGUCUCCCCCCACCCCCUCCAAGCCUGCCAAAGACCAUCUUGUUAUCCAUAGCCCAGAAGCCUAACCCUUCCAUUCCCACCUGAAGCAGGUAAGUUAAUCUCCUUAAUAAAAGCAGUGGGUCUAAGAAGGAAGGGAAACCUGGGGACGACUGAGGGGCCCUUGGAGGAUGUGGAAUGCCAGAUAGCAGAGGGAGGAAGAAAAAGAACAUGAGAUAUUGUUGGAAUUAUAAAUUUGAUCACGUUUGAUGUCCUUGGAGAGUCUCUGCAAGGAUGGAAUUUUUAUUUUAUUAUUUACUUAUUUAUUUUGCCUAACAGGCGGUUUUGUCUUUAACCAUGACGCGGCUCACUGGCCACCGUGCGCCUCUGCUCCAUCGGGGUUAUACAAGUGUCAGAAAUAGGACGCAGGCAUCGGGACAGUCAUCUCGCUAUAGAAUUGUUCAGAGACGGGGUGGGAGGAAGGAAAAUGACGUAGCUUCUCUGGCCCUCACCCACCCAGUGACUGGAAUGCAUGUUUGGGCCGGUUUCUCCACCCUUGAAAACACAAAUCCCAGUUUCUCCCUUCCCCUCAACUGGGCGACAAUUAGGGAGGUGGGUUUUGUUGGAAGAAGGAAUUUUACUGAAGAAUUCCCCUGCCUCGCUCCCAGCUCGGUUACAGCUCCUUCAGUGCUGUAGCUAUUCCUGCCUUUGUGGCCUCAAGGGCUAAAGUGGGACAAGGCCGGUAUUUUUGGUGAUGAGGAAAUAUUUUGUUUUAAAGGGAGGCUGGGUGGCUGCUGAACUGGGACAGAGGUCAGAGCAGGGGUCAGGUUAGCCGUUCCAGGGGCGACCGGGGGCCUGGCGUCGGGCCGGGGCUCCCAAGAGCGCUGCUGCCGCGGCUAGGAACCGGCGGGCACACUCGCGGUGCCCACCGCCUCAUCCCCAGAGGAGGGCACCCGGGAGCCGGCGCCAGAGGACCGGGGCCCACGCGGGAAGGUCGAGCUCGCCGGUGAGGUCACGGUUGCCAUGGCUGCGGGCAGUGACGCGC